CUUUCUUUUCCAAACUCAACCCGUGUUCUCUGCACUUUCUUCUCCCAAAACCCUAAUCCGCGCCGCCCCCUUCUCCAUCUUAUCUAUGGCCGUCUCCACCUUCAAUGGAGAAAUCAAUACCAUUUUGUUUCUCUUCUCCUCACGAUCUCUUUAGAGAACCAAAAAAAGCCACAGACUCUCAUCCCUGCCGCCGCACAUCCAGAUCGCGUGGAAUCUCCCCUCCCCGCCGUCGCACACCCAGAUCGCGUGGAAUCUACCCUCCCCGCCGUCGCACAUUCAGCUGCCGUCACACCAUUCCAGCUGAUUCUGUAAAGUGUUGAAAAAGAUGACUACUCUAAUCCCAUAGAAGAUUUGAAACAUCGUCAAAUGAAUUUGGGAGGGAAGUUAAGGAAAACCGGAUAGUUGAAUACACUAGACGAAAGGCAAAGAUUGAUCUUCUGUAAAGAAACCACAUGUAGAUGCUUUAUAGUGACUUUCAUUGCUAGAAAUUUCAAAAACAUCAUAUUGCCCAGAAGUGUAACUUAGCAUGUAUAUUAAUCUGGAAAUAAAUAUUAUUUUUUGUUCAGACACUUCAAGGGAGAAUAUUUAGCUAUAAGUGAUGCAAAGAAUCUACUUAGUUGUUAUCUCGAUACUGAUAUUCAGAAACAUUGUCCCUUUUAUUGGCAUUGUAGGCUACACGCUUACUACUAUAAUGGAAGUUGUUGCAUAUGGAGAAGACAUGGCCAUUUUUCUAAUAGAGUUUUCAAGUUUUAAACAUUUUGAUAUUCUUUGGUCCUAUAAUAUUGUGAUACAUACUGAGUUUUUCCUUUUUACCUUUGUAGCUCUUGCACUUGGCUCUUACUACUCCAAAUCUAUAUGAUUUCUACAACUAUAGACCUACUAAACCAAAUACGAUUUACUUCUAAAUGAGUUCAUACAGGAGUAAAAUCACUCUCUCUUGCACUUUAUGUUAAUAACCAAACACAACAUUUAUCAAAAUGAGAUCCAAUGCAAGAAAUUGUAUUCAUAUAUUUCAUACCUUUCAUUCUAACAAUAUUUAUCAAAACCCACACUCAUCACGUUGUUCUUGAACAAAGUUUCAGGGGAAAAUUUGUGGUGUAGUUAAUCGAUAGAGAUCGAGGUGAAAGGAUUCAGUGAGAUAAUGGUGCAGUUCUGUUAUCACAUUAUACAUGUUUAUGAUACAUAAUGACACAACUACCAGAAACUGACAUCAAGAGGUCUUUGAACUUAUACUGCAGACAUGUCUUGCUUUGAUAAUGCAGUAUUCUUGCACUUGAGUUAAGCACAGGUUUGUAUUUGAAGCAGAGUAGGUUCGCUCCGGCUUAGGUAGCGAGGAAGCUGAAUUUCUUGCUGAGAUGUGAGAACGUCGAGAUUUAGGUUGGAUUGGAGCAAGGGUCAGUGUUGAAACCAAACUCUAAAUAGCUAAUUCUCAGUAUUGGAUGUUUGGUACUAUGUGUGAAUCUCAUGCACAACAGUCCGAUUAAGAGAUCUUCAUUGUGAAUCACAAUGUCACGACGAGAUGCUUUCGGAAAAAAAGGUGUAACUUUGUCGAGUAGGAGUGUCGGUCUUUGCAUGCCGUUGUUUCAAUGUUGCACAAUUAUAAUAUGGUGAAAUUUGUUGGUUCUGGUGUAAAUUGGUUUUGGAGUAAAUUUGUUUUAGGUUUAGCAGGGUUUUCAUUUUCUUUUGUAUCAUGUUACUCUUGGCAUGUCUCAUGCCUUAUUUGACUUUAUUUAAUAUAAUUUCUUUUUUUUUU